rnacentral:misc_RNA from 1 species
CCGUCCGAGCCCCUCGUUGGCCGGUGACAAGUAUGACAACCCUUGCCUUUUUUGCGCACCCUUCGUUUCCUCGGCAGCUCUGCCUGCCAGCGGGGACCCCCAAACAACCUUUUUGUAAUACCCGUAUAACCUUCUGAAAAACCCAAUUAUUA